UCCACGCACUCCGCUCCCUCGCCUCCCUGCCGUGCGCUGCGUCGCCCUCCGUCACCCACGGUUCGAAUCCCUCUCCUCUCUUUUUUAAGCCCCUCUCUUCUCUCUUUUUCCUCCCCCAGAUACGGCGGCUCCUCCUUGCCGGCGACAGCUAGCUGCAGCGCUCGGGUAGUCGGGCGGGUCAGCGUGCGGCGGCACGGGUCCGCAACUACAGCGCGACGCGAGGAUGCGUGAGUCCGAGGCGGCGCGCGGCCGCGGCGCGCAGCCUCAUCCGCCGACUGCUCAGCGGGCUCUGCUCGGCCGCUUCGCACGCUCCGCUCGCACUGGCCGCCGCCAGAGACCGCCCGGAGACGCUGCCGAAGAAGGCCCGUCCGCCCGCCGAAGAACGCCCACACCCGCCCCCGUCGACGUCGCCCCCACAACCCACGGCCCGUCGACCCGCCGGCAGCAAGAUGGCCAGGAGGCGGGUGCCUCGUGCCCGAGGCCAGAGGCCCUUCCGCGUUAGGCGGCAGCGACAGCGGCGCGACAUCAUUCAUGGCAUCAUCUGGUGGGAAGUCCUCGAACGCCGCCGUGUCCACACGGCCGGUGUGUCCGCAGUGGCGCUGCAGGUGUGGCAAUCGCGCCGUACGCAAGUGUUAGUCCAACCAUAGUGGAUACGACACCUCCAUCCUGGAGCUCAGGUGUAACAUGUCGUGUAAUGUAAAUGGGGAACUUCCAAUCUGCCCACAAAUAACCGCAGGAGAGGUCCUACAUGAUUUCUCAUAAAGUAUAUUUAAGCUUUGCUAAAAUGAUCCUCUUGCUCAUUGCAGAGCAACACAAUAUCCUUUUCGUUGCACUUUUGAAUCUGAUUAGUUUGUCCAUAAGCCUGCAUGAUUUCUCAUAGUGUAUAUUAAGGCUUAACUGAAAUGAUGCCCUUCUCCUUGCGUAGCAAAAUAACAACCUAUAAUUGCAUUUUGAAUCUGAAUAUAGUUCGUUAAUCUUUCUGGUUUUUGAAGUUUGCUUGCCACUAUGUUUGUGAGCUGGGUUGACUAAUGCAGAUGAGGCAUUGAUGACCUUAGCAAAGUAUAGGUGAAUAUGCCUACCUUAACAUCUUCUUUUCUGCAUCCAAUGUAUAUCAGUGGAUUAUGUUGAUAGAUAAGAUUUUCCAGAUUACCCUUGCCACAAUGAGCCUCAUAAUUAAUCAUGGUAAAUAUUUAAGAUUAGUUGAAGGAAAUUGCUGGUUUCUAGGCUAUUAAGUUUGUUGUAGGACUGAGAUUUAGUUGGAAUUUUCCUGGAGUAAUUUUGUAGAACUAUUAGUACCUUUGCCUGCUGUUGCUGGAUGUUAUGUCUUGUGCGUGUCAGGUGCUGUCACGUGUGUCCCGACUCCCGAGUGUAUUACCGGUGAAUUAUCAGGUUCUUUGGAAAUACCCGUAGAAGUGCAUGCCAUGCCAUGGUAGAACUGCAGGGCUAGGAAGCUUGGAUUUACAAGUAGCUUUCAAAAAUCGUUGUACUAUUCAAAGUUUAUUAUUUGUUAACUCUUUUUUAUUAUAACCCAAAAUUGUGGUGAUUUGAACUUUAUUCUUUUCUCAUAAGAAUAAAUGUGGUCUUCUAUACAGUUUUCAUCACUUCAUUCAGGAUCAGCUUGUGAGACAAGGCCACCUCGGGAUGUCUUCCUUGAUGAUAGAUAGGGCCACUGUCGAGCAUUCUCGGAAGCAAUGUCAAAAAUUUAAUCAAAAAAUGCAUUGUAAUACUUUUUCGGUGUCCAUCUUUGAUAGGUUUUUUGGGUGGUCAUUUGCUGGCUCAUUACUAGAAUUCAAGUUUUGAUGAUAUCAUUGUGGUCAUGCUGUUCUUGGAAGUUUAUUUGGGAGAUACCAUAACAUGUCUUUUGGUUUGGAUUGCUUCAUUUUUUUGAAGUUUCGAUUGAUUCAUUGAUUGGGUUGUUACUAAAACA